GGAUAGCUCAGUUGGUAGAGCAUGAGACUCUUAAUCUCAGGGUUGUGGGCUUGAGUCCCAUGUUGAGUGAAAUA
rnacentral:tRNA from 1 species